rnacentral:rRNA from 1 species
UACGUAGGGGGCAAGCGUUGUCCGGAUUUAUUGGGCGUAAAGAGCGUGUAGGCGGCUAGAUAGGUCCGUUGUGAAAACUCGAGGCUCAACCUCGAGACGUCGAUGGAAACCAUCUGGCUAGAGUCCGGAAGAGGAGAGUGGAAUUCCUGGUGUAGCGGUGAAAUGCGCAGAUAUCAGGAAGAACACCCGUGGCUAAGGCGGCUCUCUAGUACGGUACUGACGCUGAGACGCGAAAGCGUGGGGAGCGAACAGG